AACAACUGCUAACAUGGUUUCUAGCCCAAGAUAUUCUGAGAGAGUCCUGGAUUUGAGAGAUUUAGAUACAAAUGUCAGUCAUAAUACAGUGAACUUCUAAAUUUCUUUUGGUUAGUACAAUGAACUUCCAUUAUAUGGUUACUUUUUUGUAAAGAAAAGGCACUAAGGCCAAACUCAACCCCCAAAAUGUAUCUCAUGAGGGGAAGAUUGCCCAUGCCUGUAUAUGCAAACCACACAUUCAUUACCUAACUAAUGAAGGACUAUUUAGUACAACCCAACAAAGAGAGAACUUUUAAAUACCAACUAACAAUCUACACUAAUCUGCGACCUCCAAACCCUAAUUACUCUAAGCAUACCUAUGACAAAUUCAAAUAUCGGAUGGUAUUAAACUUUUUAUCUCAAGUCUUCACCAUCAUGCAGCCACAAUUUUCAUCUUGAUUGGGACAGAGUGAACAAGUGCUAUAAUCUCUUGAACAUGGACUAGUAUAGAAAGUGGAUUCAUACAAAACUCAUUUCUUUUUUCUUCUUUAUCUUUUUUUUAAAAAAAAAAGAUAAAGAAGAAAAAAGAAAUGAGCUUUGUAUGAGUCCACUUUCUAUACUAGUCCAUGUUCAAGAGAUUAUA